UAUUUAUACAUAUAUUACAUUUCAGGUGUUUGACCUUGCUUCUGAUGAUGAGUUUAUUGUAACAACAACUGGACGAGAAGAAAUAAAUGAUGACGAUACUUUCGUGACACUUAUUGAGAGUGGGGACACGUUAUAUUUACUACAAUAUGUAGACCAGCCAUUAGAGGCACCUGUUGCAGAACACAUCGAGUACCAGCCUCAUUAUGAUACUUUAAUCAAAA